GGAGGGUUAGCUCAGCUGGUAGAGCAUUUGCAUCACACGCAAGGGGUCGCAGGUUCGAGUCCUGUACUCUCCA
rnacentral:tRNA from 1 species